UCUGAAGAUCUGUUAUAUUCCUCAGCAGAGUUUGGUUGGAAUAAUGCUUAGUCAGUUGUUCCCCAACAGGCAUGAAUAGAGGACACAUCAACUAAGUGCUUAUGUGGAUUGGGGCCAAAUGGACAAUUUGGCCUGAAGCUGUCUCUGAUUUCUUCCCUCAGCAGAAUUGAUGGAAAUAACUGCAAGGGAGAGGCUUUCAAAUAGUCAGUGAGCUGCUCGGAAAAAUGUGCCAGUACGCAGUGCUGCCAGCGCCUAUUAGAUACCAUGGAGAAAACACAAUUAGCGGACUAAGGAAAUGAAUGUAGGUUAUGAGGCUUAUUCUGCCUGUAAUGGAUAUAAAUGUACUCUAAAACUUCAGUUACUGUUAUGGAUCAUGGACAACCGAGCAAAUUAUAUAUUAAACUAAUCGCAGAUGAUGCUACUGAUCGGCAGAGGUCUGCACGGCCUUCCAGAGAGUACAGAUUUCUGCGGAGAAUUGGCCCAUGGUAUGUGCUGUACACGUGCUACUAUACUGACAGCUGGGGAUGUGUCAGAGAAGGUAGAAAGAGAGAGAAGUUUCUCAGAAGACGCGGCACUAUUGGAAAGUCUAAUGGAUCCAGAGGAUGA
rnacentral:lncRNA from 1 species